rnacentral:lncRNA from 1 species
UGGCUGUUAUUUCAACUGGUUAUAUUAGUUCAUAACUCUUCUACGGCGUCAACUGUUUCGUUUCUUUUAAUCCUUGGCUUUCAAAUGUUGGCUUUGUGCAUUCAUGGUGAAGGUAAAUUUAGAAAAGAGCUUCGGAAGCAUGAAAUUUUAAAGAGUUGUUUUUUUUUGUUUUUUUUACAGCAUUGUGUCUAUACCGCUGCUGGUGGACUAUCAUGCAGUUCCCGCUGGUAUCAUCAACUCAGUAGUCGGUGCUUGAGUACAGACAUGACUUAUCGAAAAC